rnacentral:rRNA from 1 species
GACGAACGCUGGCGGCGUGCUUAACACAUGCAAGUCGAACGGAAAGACCCUGCUUUUGUGGGUUGCUCGAGUGGCGAACGGGUGAGUAACACGUGUGUAACCUGCCCUUGACUUUGGGAUAACUUCAGGAAACUGGGGCUAAUACCGGAUAGGAGCUCCUGCUGCAUGGUGGGGGUUGGAAAGUUUCGGCGGUUGGGGAUGGACUCGCGGCUUAUCAGCUUGUUGGUGGGGUAGUGGCUUACCAAGGCUUUGACGGGUAGCCGGCCUGAGAGGGUUACCGGCCACAUUGGGACUGAGAGACGGCCCAGACUCCUACGGGAGGCAGCAGUGGGGAAUAUUGCACAAUGGGCGGAAGCCUGAUGCAGCAACGCCGCGUGCGGGAUGACGGCCUUCGGGUUGUAAACCGCUUUCGCCUGUGACGAAGCGUGAGUGACGGUAAUGGGUAAAGAAGCACCGGCUAACUACGUG